GAUGUGGCCUUGUGCUUAGAGCCAUCAGCAUUUAGAGAAUGAUGCUUGGUGACUCUGACAUGUAGGAAGUUGACUGGGCCACAUCCAUGUCAAAGCAAAGACUCAGGACGUGAGAUCCUAAUCCCCGGUGCUAUGAUGACUCCCAGAUGACAGUCACGUGCCUUUCCCACUGUAAGCUGUUGUCAGUCCACUCACUUGGCACUUCCCCCUCCCCCUCUACAGACCCAACCUCCCCUCAUUUGCUCGAUUUCAAGGUUAUGGUAAAGUUUAGCUUUGACUUCCGGAAGGCUACUCUGACCCACACCCACGCCCACACCCCCACCCCCACUCCUGCCACAUUGUUCUCUUUUCACUUUGAACUUUGUACCAGUGUUUUAUUCAGUGCUGUACUUGGACGUUCCCUCAGCCAUGAACAUUGGUGUAAUCUUGAUUUUUAAACCCUUCGCUCAUCCUGUCGUUUACCCCGUACGAUGGCAAGGACUCACCACCAGAGUAAGAAAAGAUUGAAGCUGGCAGUUGGUACACAUGGACACGAAUACAGAAAGACAAACUACACAAAAUUAAUCUCAUGGACUUUGGCCAAGCUCUCAUCAGACUCUAAAUUCUCGUUACAUGUCAGAUUCACAGUCAGUGAAAAAACAAACCUUCCGGCAUUUCUAAGAACAGUUCUCAUUUCUCACUGGAGAGCAGAAGGGGGCAGUCAACUGUGCCCUGCUUCAGGCUUCGCUGCUAUGAUCCCCCAUCACCACCAAAAAGAAAAUCAAGAAAAUUAGCGAUUAAAGG
rnacentral:lncRNA from 1 species